rnacentral:rRNA from 1 species
UAGUCCACGCCGUAAACGAUGAUUACUCGCUGUAGGCGAUACACAGUCUGUGGCUGAGCGAAAGCAUUAAGUAAUCCACCUGGGGAGUACGUUGGCAACAAUGAAACUCAAAGGAAUUGACGGGGGCCCGCACAAGCGGAGGAACAUGUGGUUUAAUUCGAUGAUACGCGAGGAACCUUACCCGGACUUAAAUGUAGAGUGACAGGCUUAGAGAUAGGCUUUUCUUCGGACACUUUACAAGGUGCUGCAUGGUUGUCGUCAGCUCGUGCCGUGAGGUGUCGGGUUAAGUCCCAUAACGAGCGCAACCCCUGUUGUUAGUUACCAGCACAUAAUGGUGGGGACUCUAGCAAGACUGCCGGUGUAAACCGAGAGGAAGGUGGGGAUGACGUCAAAUCAGCACGGCCCUUACGUCCGGGGCUACACACGUGUUACAAUGGUCGGUACAAAGGGCAGCUACUGCGUGAGCAGAUGCGAAUCUCUAAAACCGGUCUCAGUUCGGAUCGAAGUCUGCAACCCG